GACGAACGCUGGCGGCGUGCCUAAUACAUGCAAGUAGAACGCUGAAGCUUGGUGCUUGCACCGAGCGGAUGAGUUGCGAACGGGUGAGUAACGCGUAGGUAACCUGCCUGGUAGCGGGGGAUAACUAUUGGAAACGAUAGCUAAUACCGCAUAAGAGUAGAUGUUGCAUGACAUUUGCUUAAAAGGUGCAAUUGCAUCACUACCAGAUGGACCUGCGUUGUAUUAGCUAGUUGGUGGGGUAACGGCUCACCAAGGCGACGAUACAUAGCCGACCUGAGAGGGUGAUCGGCCACACUGGGACUGAGACACGGCCCAGACUCCUACGGGAGGCAGCAGUAGGGAAUCUUCGGCAAUGGACGGAAGUCUGACCGAGCAACGCCGCGUGAGUGAAGAAGGUUUUCGGAUCGUAAAGCUCUGUUGUAAGAGAAGAACGAGUGUGAGAGUGGGAAGUUCACACUGUGACGGUAUCUUACCAGAAAGGGACGGCUAACUACGUGCCAGCAGCCGCGGUAAUACGUAGGUCCCGAGCGUUGUCCGGAUUUAUUGGGCGUAAAGCGAGCGCAGGCGGUUAGAUAAGUCUGAAGUUAAAGGCUGUGGCUUAACCAUAGUACGCUUUGGAAACUGUUUAACUUGAGUGCAAGAGGGGAGAGUGGAAUUCCAUGUGUAGCGGUGAAAUGCGUAGAUAUAUGGAGGAACACCGGUGGCGAAAGCGGCUCUCUGGCUUGUAACUGACGCUGAGGCUCGAAAGCGUGGGGAGCAAACAGG
rnacentral:rRNA from 1 species